GACGAACGCUGGCGGCGUGCUUAACACAUGCAAGUCGAACGGAAAGGCCCUUCGGGGUACUCGAGUGGCGAACGGGUGAGUAACACGUGGGUGAUCUGCCCUGCACUUUGGGAUAAGCCCGGGAAACUGGGUCUAAUACCGAAUAGGACCACGCGCUUCAUGGUGUGUGGUGGAAAGCUUUUGCGGUGUGGGAUGGGCCCGCGGCCUAUCAGCUUGUUGGUGGGGUAAUGGCCUACCAAGGCGACGACGGGUAGCCGGCCUGAGAGGGUGACCGGCCACACUGGGACUGAGAUACGGCCCAGACUCCUACGGGAGGCAGCAGUGGGGAAUAUUGCACAAUGGGCGCAAGCCUGAUGCAGCGACGCCGCGUGAGGGAUGACGGCCUUCGGGUUGUAAACCUCUUUCACCAGGGACGAAGCGUAAGUGACGGUACCUGGAGAAGAAGCACCGGCCAACUACGUG
rnacentral:rRNA from 1 species